rnacentral:rRNA from 1 species
GGUGAGGUAAUGGCUCACCAAGGCGACGACGGGUAGCCGGCCUGAGAGGGUGACCGGACACACUGGGACUGAGACACGGCCCAGACUCCUACGGGAGGCAGCAGUGGGGAAUAUUGCACAAUGGGCGCAAGCCUGAUGCAGCGACGCCGCGUGAGGGAUGACGGCCUUCGGGUUGUAAACCUCUUUCAGUAGGGAAGAAGCGAAAGUGACGGUACCUGCAGAAGAAGCACCGGCUAACUACGUGCCAGCAGCCGCGGUAAUACGUAGGGUGCGAGCGUUAUCCGGAAUUAUUGGGCGUAAGAGCUCGUAGGCGGUUUGUCGCGUCUGUCGUGAAAGUCCGGGGCUUAACCCCGGAUCUGCGGUGGGUACGGGCAGACUAGAGUGCAGUAGGGGAGACUGGAAUUCCUGGUGUAGCGGUGGAAUGCGCAGAUAUCAGGAGGAACACCGAUGGCGAAGGCAGGUCUCUGGGCUGUAACUGACGCUGAGGAGCGAAAGCAUGGGGAGCGAACAGGAUUAGAUACCCUGGUAGUCCAUGCCGUAAACGUUGGGCACUAGGUGUGGGGACCAUUCCACGGUUUCCGCGCCGCAGCUAACGCAUUAAGUGCCCCGCCUGGGGAGUACGGCCGCAAGGCUAAAACUCAAAGGAAUUGACGGGGGCCCGCACAAGCGGCGGAGCAUGCGGAUUAAUUCGAUGCAACGCGAAGAACCUUACCAAGGCUUGACAUGUUCUCGAUCGCCGUAGAGAUACGGUUUCCCCUUUGGGGCGGGUUCACAGGUGGUGCAUGGUUGUCGUCAGCUCGUGUCGUGAGAUGUUGGGUUAAGUCCCGCAACGAGCGCAACCCUCGUUCCAUGUUGCCAGCACGUCGUGGUGGGGACUCAUGGGAGACUGCCGGGGUCAACUCGGAGGAAGGUGAGGACGACGUCAAAUCAUCAUGCCCCUUAUGUCUUGGGCUUCACGCAUGCUACAAUGGCCGGUACAAUGGGUUGCGAUACUGUGAGGUGGAGCUAAUCCCAAAAAGCCGGUCUCAGUUCGGAUUGGGGUCUGCAACUCGACCCCAUGAAGUCGGAGUCGCUAGUAAUCGCAGAUCAGCAACGCUGCGGUGAAUACGUUCCCGGGCCUUGUACCCACCCGCCCGUAA